AGAUGGCGGCUGAUGGAAUCCCGGGCACAGAGCCGAACCCAGACCUGAACUCAUGGAGCGGCCCCGAGUUACAGGCCAAACUGACGGAGAUCGGAGCGCCUGUUAUGGGCCCGAGAGAAGAGUUAAUAGACAGACUGAAAUCCUACAUGAUGCAGCAGACGGAAGAGCUGAGCACAUCUCAAGGGCAACCUAAAAGGUGAGUUUGGCCAGAAAAAAAAAAAAAACAGAGAAAGCAAGCUCCGGAGGCAGGGAGGAAACGUGGUCGACCUCCAAAAGCAAAGAGGCCUGGUUGGCCACAUAAGAGGGCAGCACCAUCCAGUCCUACAUACCUUGCAUCAGAGUCCUCCAGCUCUCAGGACCAUAGGGAGGCCCCUCCACCAAAGAGGACAUGUGC